rnacentral:rRNA from 1 species
GUGGAUUAGAUACCCUGGUAGUCCUAGCCGUAAACUAUGUAGACUUGGCGUUGGCGGAGUUAAAUCUGCCAGUGCCACAGCUAACGCGGUAAGUCUACCGCCUGAGGAUUACGAUCGCAAGGUUAAAACUCAAAGGAAUUGACGGGGGCCCGCACAAGCAGCGGAGCGUGUGGUUUAAUUCGAUGAUACACGAAGAACCUUACCAAGGUUUGACAUGCAAGUGGUAGUGAACUGAAAAGGGAACGACCCUUCGGGGAGCUUGCACAGGUGCUGCAUGGCCGUCGUCAGCU